GACCAGAUUGAGAUUCGGAUGGCUGGAGAGGAUGGGCCCCCAUGCCAGGACUUGCCUUGGUCAGCUUCACGACCUGCUACCCGUUGGACGGAUGCCAUCUAGUGUCAAAAUGCGGUAAACCUGUUUGUGAGAGCUGUAUGUGGAGUACAGAACACAGGUCCUCCAGCCUCGCCAGCAGGGAAGAACAGAUGGAGAGAGACAAACACAAAUGUCACUGCAUGCUUACAUCUGGCCACCUCCAGGACUGCUCAGCACUUAAUGAGGAGCCCGUGAUCGGC
rnacentral:lncRNA from 1 species